rnacentral:rRNA from 1 species
GGCGGCGUGCCUAACACAUGCAAGUCGAACGAGAAAGUGGAGCAAUCCAUGAGUAAAGUGGCGACCGGGUGAGUAACACGUGACUAACCUACCUUCGAGUGGGGGAUAACCUCGGGAAACCGGGGCUAAUACCGCAUAACAUCUUUGAAGUGGAAAUUUCGGAGAUCAAAGGAGCAAUUCGCUGGAAGAGGGGGUCGCGGCUGAUUAGCUAGUUGGCGGGGUAACGGCCCACCAAGGCUUAGAUCGGUAGCCGGCCUGAGAGGGCGCACGGCCACACUGGAACUGAAACACGGUCCAGACUCCUACGGGAGGCAGCAGUGGGGAAUCUUGCGCAAUGGGCGAAAGCCUGACGCAGCGACGCCGCGUGCGGGAAGAAGGCCUUCGGGUUGUAAACCGCUUUCAGGAGGGACGAAGCCACUCAGGUUAAUAGCCGAGAGGGUGACGGUACCUCCAGAAGAAGCCCCGGCUAACUACGUGCCAGCAGCCGCGGUAAUACGUA